UACGGAGGAUGCGAGUGUUAUCCGGAUUUAUUGGGUUUAAAGGGUGCGUAGGCGGCCGAGUAAGUCAGCGGUGAAAUUUUGCAGCUUAACUAUAACAGUGCCGUUGAUACUGCAUGGCUAGGAUUUGGUUGCUGUGGGUGGAAUGUGUGGUGUAGCGGUGAAAUGCUUAGAUAUCACACAGAAUAUCAAUUGCGAAGGCAGCUCACAAAGCCAAGAUUGACGCUGAGGCACGAAAGUGUGGGGAUCAAACA
rnacentral:rRNA from 1 species